GACGAACGCUGGCGGCGUGCUUAACACAUGCAAGUCGAACGAUGAAGCCUUCGGGUGGAUUAGUGGCGAACGGGUGAGUAACACGUGGUGAUUUGCCCUGCACUUUGGGAUAAGCCUGGGAAACUGGGUCUAAUACCGAAUAUGAUCAUGCUCUUCAUGGGGUGUGGUGGAAAGCUUUUGCGGUGUGGGAUGGGCCCGCGGCCUAUCAGUUUGUUGGUGGGGUAAUGGCCUACCAAGGCUACGACGGGUAGCCGGCCUGAGAGGGUGAACGGCCACACUGGGACGGAGAUACGGCCCAGACGCGUACGGGAGGCAUGAGUGGGGAAUAUUGCGCAAUGGGCGCAAGCCGGAUGCAGAGACGCCGCGUGGGGGAUGACGGCCUUCGGGUUGUAGACCGCUUUCAGCAGGGACGAAGCGCAAGUGACGGUACCUGCAGAAGAAGGACCGGCCAACUACGUGCCAGCCGCCGCGGUAA
rnacentral:rRNA from 1 species